CGACGUGUUCGUUCGCACCCCUCCGAUUCCAACUUAUAUGUUGGGGUUCGCCGUCACCGACUUCACGUACAUUGGCACCGAAACCAUAUCAUUGUAACGCCUGGUGGAGGAGAGCCCAGUGCAAGCGAGGGCAUCGUGUUUUUCCCAAGUUCAUACUUGACACGUCACAACGUUUCCUUGGAUGCUAGAAAGCAAGCCGAAUGGAACGUUUACAGGCACAUCCUAAAGCAGUGGAUCGGAGGCCUUGUCAACUUCCAUUCCUGGAGAGAGCUAUGGUUGGAGGCUGCUCUCGAGGCGUACAUACUGUACGCGCUGGCCAG